GUUGAACGCUGGCGGAAUGCUUUACACAUGCAAGUCGAACGGCAGCACGGACUUCGGUCUGGUGGCGAGUGGCGAACGGGUGAGUAAUGUAUCGGAACGUGCCCAGUCGUGGGGGAUAACGUAGUGAAAAUUACGCUAAUACCGCAUACGAUCUAUGGAUGAAAGCGGGGGAUCGCAAGACCUCGCGCGAUUGGAGCGGCCGAUAUCAGAUUAGGUAGUUGGUGGGGUAAAGGCCCACCAAGCCAACGAUCUGUAGCUGGUCUGAGAGGACGACCAGCCACACUGGAACUGAGACACGGUCCAGACUCCUACGUGAGGCAGCAGUGGGGAAUUUUGGACAAUGGGCGAAAGCCUGAUCCAGCCAUUCCGCGUGCAGGAUGAAGGCCCUCGGGUUGUAAACUGCUUUUGUACAGAACGAAAAGGUUUCUACUAAUACUAGGAGCUCAUGACGGUACUGUAAGAAUAAGCACCGGCUAACUACGUGCCAGCAGCCGCCGUAA
rnacentral:rRNA from 1 species